GGAUUCCGCACAGGCCAUUCUCAUUAGAUCACCAUCUCCAUAGUGAGGAUAGUAAUCUGAGAAGCUCCCCUCAUGACCACUCUCAUUAGUAUUAUUAUCAAGGGUCAGCCACUCCGCAAAGACAAUGCCCUGAGGGCUCCACUGGCUCAGGUUUUGCCACCCUCUUCUUGAGAUAGGAGUGCCAGCAGUUCUUUAUCUCGUUGUCAGUUCUGCCGGGCAGAUGCUGUGCUAUCUGAGACCACCUGAAUCAUAGAAGCAGCACGCCCAUAUAUCAGAGAUUUUGACAGAACUGAGGGACCUUUGAUGUAUGUUCACUUUAAGACUUAAUUAAUAGGCAUUCUCGGGCUUACUUGUUGCCUAAUGUGCGAUGAAGAUUGAGGAUAGUCUCCUCUUCAUGCACCGUAAACAUCCCUCUCUUCAGCCCGGGCCUCAGGUAAUUGAUCCACCUUAAUCUGCAGCUUUUGCCAUUCCUCUGCAGGCCUGAGUUUUUGUACAAUUCUAAUAAUGAGGGCAGUUCAGAUAAA